rnacentral:rRNA from 1 species
GAUGAACGCUGGCGGCGUGCCUAAUACAUGCAAGUCGAGCGAACAGACGAGGAGCUUGCUCCUCUGACGUUAGCGGCGGGCGGGUGAGUAACACGUGGAUAACCUACCUAUAAGACUGGGAUAACUUCGGGAAACCGGAGCUAAUACCGGAUAAUAUAUUGAACCGCAUGGUUCAAUAGUGAAAGAUGGUUUUGCUGUCACUUAUAGAUGGAUCCGCGCCGCAUUAGCUAGUUGGUAAGGUAACGGCUUACCAAGGCAACGAUGCGUAGCCGACCUGAGAGGGUGAUCGGCCACACUGGAACUGAGACACGGUCCAGACUCCUACGGGAGGCAGCAGUAGGGAAUCUUCCGCAAUGGGCGAAAGCCUGACGGAGCAACGCCGCGUGAGUGAUGAAGGUCUUCGGAUCGUAAAACUCUGUUAUUAGGGAAGAACAAAUGUGUAAGUAACUAUGCACGUCUUGACGGUACCUAAUCAGAAAGCCACGGCUAACUACGUG